UCCGUAGGUGAACCUGCGGAAGGAUCAUUAUGAAUUUGAACUUGUGCUGUUUCAUUCACUUGAACGCGCAAUUCUUUUUCUGUGAACUGGAAGUCAAAGCAGUGUGUGUCUCUCUUUAUUGAGGCGCACACACUGGUUGAUUUUGCCUUUUGUUUUCUUGUUUUAUAUUCCACUACAUUUUGUUUUUUUUAAAGUAGUUUACUCUGUUUUUUUUCAGAGUAGGCGAAAAAGAGAACAAAAUAAAAAACCAAGACAACUUUCAGCAAUGGAUCUCUUGGCUCUUGCAUCGAUGAAGAACGCAGCGAAAUGCGAUACGUAAUGUGAAUUGCAGAUUCGUGACUCAUCGAAAUUUUGAACGCAUAUUGCACUUGAUGGUAUUCCGUGGAGCAUGCCUGUUUGAGUGUCAUGAAUACUUCAACCCUCCUCUUUUCUAGUGAAAGAGAAGGUGCUUGGUUUCUGAGCGUUUUGCUGGCCUCACGGUCGAGCUCGCUCGUAAUGCAUUAGCAUCCGCAAUCGAACUUCGGAUUGACUUGGCGUAAUAGACUAUUCGCUGAGGAAUUCUAAUCUUCGGAUUAGAGCCGGGUUAGGUUAAAGGAAGCUUCUAACCCUAAUGUCUAUAUUUUAAGAUUAGAUCUCAAAUCAGGUAGGACUACCCGCUGAACUUAAGCAUAUCAAUAAGCGGAGGAAAAGAAACUAACAAGGAUUCCCCUAGUAGCGGCGAGCGAAGCGGGAAGAGCUCAAAUUUAUAAUCUGGCACCUUCGGUGUCCGAGUUGUAAUCUCUAGAAGUGUUUUCCGCGUUGGACCGCGCAUAAGUCUGUUGGAAUACAGCGGCACAGUGGUGAGACCCCCGUAUGUGGUGCGGACGCCCGGCGCUUUGUGAUACACUUUCGAAGAGUCGAGUUGUUUGGGAAUGCAGCUCAAAUUGGGUGGUAAAUACCAUCUAAAGCUAAAUAUCAGCAAGAGACCGAUAGCGAGCAAGUACUGUGAAGGAAAGAUGAAAAGAACUUUGAAAAGAGGGUUAAAAGUACGUGAAAUUGCUGAAAGGGAAACGCUUGAAGU
rnacentral:rRNA from 1 species